UACGGGGAGAAAAGAAGUGAAACGCUCACAGUCACACUCAUAAAUGAGCAUUCAGACGCCAUAGUAACACGGUUUACUAAAAUAAGAAAGAAAGACCGGUUUGAAACAACGUGACGUCCAAAGCCAGAGGACCUCUGAAGGCUCAGGUGGAAGAUCUGAGGAAACAGCGCAAGGUCAAGAGCAGGAUUAUUCAAAGUCUGAAAGAGGAAAUUAAGACUCCUUUGUUCCACAGUGCACAAAAGAAGAAUGAGGUGGUGCAAGUAAGAAAGAAGAGAAAGUCAAGCAUUUGACCACUGCAAGAGGGUCUGCAAGAAAAGGCACACACACUUUGGUAAAAGUUGCAGGCCAGCGAGGAGAAAGUUAAUAGCCAGGGCUUAGAAGUCAGCCCGCUCAAGUCCAAAUUACAGGAAAAGACAGAACAAUCUCAACAGCUGCAAGAUCAAAUUCUCAAGCAGCAGGAGGCUCUAAGUAGGGCAAGCCAAACUCUCAAAGACACCAGGAAAGCAGCUGGCAAUAAGAUUUCGUCAGUAAUUUAAGCGGACGAAAUUGUCCCUGGCCGUCAGAAUGACUUUGCAGUUCUCCUCAAACGUCAGACCCAACUCUCCUCGUAGAAGAACUUGUCAAAUCUUUCAGUUCACAAAGUCUUAAUAAACCCGCUUCUCCAUAAAUAUUGGAUAUUUACUAGAGGCAAAAAAAAAAAAAACUGUAGCUGCCUCAAAGGAAUUACAGAAGACUACUGGAAAAAAAGGAG